rnacentral:lncRNA from 1 species
ACUGUUUAUUUCCAACUAAGGAUGGGGGGAAAGUGAAAACAAUGGAAAUAAAAGGUCAAAGAAUCCCUCAGAAUGCAUGUGGUAUGUUAGUCAUGAUGGAGAUCUCAGAUGCUUUUGAAGAGGCUGAACUGAUGUGAGAAAGUCAACCAGUUGUUGCUUCUUUGAAGAAGGAGGAAGGGGCCACAAGCCAAGGAAUGUGGUGGCAUCUAGACACUGGAAAAAGCAAGAAAAUGAAUUCUCCACUAAAGCAUCCAGAAACACAGCUCUAAAGAUCCACGGUUUUAGUCCAGUAUGACCCAUGUUGGACUUCUAAACCAUAGAAUUGUAAGAUACUAAAUUUGUGCUGUUUUAAACCAUUAUGUUUGUGAUAAUUUGUUACAGUAGCCAUAGAAAGCUAAUACAAUUGAGA